rnacentral:rRNA from 1 species
CGCCAGGCUAACUCUGUGCCAGCAGCCGCGGUAAUACAGAGGGUGCAAGCGUUAAUCGGAUUUACUGGGCGUAAAGCGCGCGUAGGCGGCUAAUUAAGUCAAAUGUGAAAUCCCCGAACUUAACUUGGGAAUUGCAUUCGAUACUGGUUAGCUAGAGUGUGGGAGAGGAUGGUAGAAUUCCAGGUGUAGCGGUGAAAUGCGUAGAGAUCUGGAGGAAUACCGAUGGCGAAGGCAGCCAUCUGGCCUAACACUGACGCUGGGGUGCGAAAGCAUGGGGAGCAAACAGGAUUAGAUACCCUGGUAGUCCAUGCCGUAAACGAUGUCUACUAGCCGUUGGGGCCUUUGAGGCUUUAGUGGCGCAGCUAACGCGAUAAGUAGACCGCCUGGGGAGUACGGUCGCAAGACUAAAACUCAAAUGAAUUGACGGGGGCCCGCACAAGCGGUGGAGCAUGUGGUUUAAUUCGAUGCAACGCGAAGAAGCUUACCUGGCCUUGACAUAGUAAGAACUUUCCAGAGAUGGAUUGGUGCCUUCGGGAACUUACUACAGGUGCUGCAUGGCUGUCGUCAGCUCGUGU